UGGGGAAUUUUGGACAAUGGGCGAAAGCCUGAUCCAGCAAUGCCGCGUGUGUGAAGAAGGCCUUCGGGUUGUAAAGCACUUUUGUCCGGAAAGAAAUCCUUGGCUCUAAUACAGUCGGGGGAUGACGGUACCGGAAGAAUAAGCACCGGCUAACUACGUGCCAGCAGCCGCGGUAAUACGUAGGGUGCAAGCGUUAAUCGGAAUUACUGGGCGUAAAGCGUGCGCAGGCGGUUUGCUAAGACCGAUGUGAAAUCCCCGGGCUCAACCUGGGAACUGCAUUGGUGACUGGCAGGCUAGAGUAUGGCAGAGGGGGGUAGAAUUCCACGUGUAGCAGUGAAAUGCGUAGAGAUGUGGAGGAAUACCGAUGGCGAAGGCAGCCCCCUGGGCCAAUACUGACGCUCAUGCACGAAAGCGUGGGGAGCAAACAGGAUUAGAUACCCUGGUAGUCCACGCCCUAAACGAUGUCAACUAGUUGUUGGGGAUUCAUUUCCCUAGUAACGUAGCUAACGCGUGAAGUUGACCGCCUGGGGAGUACGGUCGCAAGAUUAAAACUCAAAUGAAUUGACGGGGUCAUAGCUGUUUCCU
rnacentral:rRNA from 1 species